AAGAUAAAAAUUAGAAAAAACAGUAACAUUUUAAAGACAAUAAGAUUUGGCUUUAAAAGAUAAAAUUAUGUUUAAGUGCAAUAAAAAAUUGUUGUGGAGUAAGUUGACUGUUGUCAUCUGUUUUAAAGUCAGCUACAGGCUGUCAUCUGAGCCAACAGCUAUUUGUAGUAAAAGCAGUGAGUCAGAUGUAAAGCAUAGACACUGAGGAAAAAUGAAAGAACAUCAUAGUGAGUUCAAAAAUUAUAUAUAAUUAAUAUUUUAUGUACCUAAAAAUUAAUUUAAAAUUAAAAAUUGCAUUUCAGAUUGGAAAAAUGCUUAAAGUAAACAAACAUGUAGAGUUAAAAUAGUACUAUGAACUUGAAGCUAUUGCAGUAAGGAUUUUGAAUAGGUAUAUUAGACAUUUGGCCACCAUAUAGUACUGUUGAAUUAAAACAGGUAUGGAAAUGUUAGAGAUAUUAAAAUAAUGUAAGAUGUAAUGUAACUAGUGAGGAAGCACUAGAAUAAAUUAGGAAAAAUAAGUGAAGCACAAUCUGAAGCCA